CUGCCAGUGAUAAACUGGAGGAAGGUGGGGAUGACGUCAAGUCAUCAUGGCCCUUACGACCAGGGCUACACACGUGCUACAAUGGCAUAUACAAAGAGAAGCGACCUCGCGAGAGCAAGCGGACCUCAUAAAGUAUGUCGUAGUCCGGAUUGGAGUCUGCAACUCGACUCCAUGAAGUCGGAAUCGCUAGUAAUCGUAGAUCAGAAUGCUACGGUGAAUACGUUCCCGGGCCUUGUACACACCGCCCGUCACACCAUGGGAGUGGGUUGCAAAAGAAGUAGGUAGCUUAACCUUCGGGAGGGCGCUUACCACUUUGUGAUUCAUGACUGGGGUGAAGUCGUAACAAGGUAACCGUAGGGGAACCUGCGGUUGGAUCACCUCCUU
rnacentral:rRNA from 4 species